CUCCUUCUUCCGCGUGAGGGGGUUGUUCUCGGUGCGCCCUCUCUCCUUCGGUACCGGUACAGCGAGAGGGAGCGCGCGGACCGGGAGGGCGGCCAGGAGGUCCGGGAGGGGCCGUCCUCCGUCCGGGUGAGGCGGGAGCGGAAGGGCCGGUUGAGUAAGAAGCCGCGCGGCGACCGGCACCGGCGGCGGCCGCGGCGGCGCGAGAGGGGCCGCCGGGGCGAGGGCGCGAGGGAGCGGCAGCAGCGGCGGCCCUUCCCCAUGUUCUACUUCUGCGUGUUCCGUAGCCGCUUCGCCAAGUCCCACUGCCCGUGGCCCUUCUAGCACGCCGCGACGCGGCCCUUCGUCGUAGACGAGUCGUUCUUCUUGCGGUUCGCGGCCUUCUCCGAGAGGUUCUGCCAGGUUCAAUUGUUCUCGCUGAUGUCGUUGCACUACCCACGCGACGGGAUGGAGUUUCACUUGUUCUUUCGUCCGACUCUAGAUGGCCUGAAGUGUAAGGUUCGUUAGUAUUUGUUGAUAAGUAUACCCGUCAGGUCACUACAAGGUGUUGUGUCUACGUGAGUGAACCAACUCUACACACGUACCUCCUGAGCUAAGUGACUGUCUACCAACACGGUGCUCAUACUGUGGUCUUUGUUCUGUGAAAGAACUCCUUGAAGUCCAAGAAACUCAUCAGUAACGUGUGUUUAGUAGAGUCAACAUUGUAACCAGUCCCGAAGUAUGACUCGGAUGCUCAACCUAGAUCUGUAACAACG
rnacentral:rRNA from 1 species